AUGGACCACGGCGACCUGGCGGCGCUCCUGCCGGAGGACGUGCUCGCCGAGGUGCUCCGUCGCGUGGCGGCGCCGCGCUGGCUUGCUAUGUCGCGCUGCGUCUGCAAGGCGUGGCGAGCCAUCAUCGACGGCGAGAGCCUCCUGCGCACAGAGCUCCCGUUUAGCGGCUUCUUCAUCACCUUCCGAGAGCUCUGUUUGCCUGAGUUCUUCUCCCGCCCCGUGUCGCCGCCUGGCCGGCCAGCGAUCAGCGGCAAGCUCGAUUUCCUACCCACACCCAUUAAAGUUCGUCCUGAUGGGUGGAGCUUGGACGGCGACUACUACAUCCAGGAUCACUGCAAUGGACUCCUAUUGCUCGACGGCUACGUGGUUAACCCCGCCACGCGAAGCUGGGAUCCUCUGGCCCCAUGCCCGCCCAACCAUGGUUCAGGGAUCGUCUAUGAUGCCCUUGACCGAGAGCUUCUCGCCUUUGAUCCCAUGGUUUCAUCUCACUACCACGUGGUGUCGAUCCACUAUUUGCCUACCUACUUCAGGCCUGCUCAAUUCGACCCCUUAGAGGAGGCAUCCGAAUGGCCACCAUCUCCAUAUAUCUUGCAUGUAUUCUCUUCAAAGACACGGCAUUGGGAGGAGAGGUCUUUUGUUCGAGAAGGGAAUGCUGGAGGGACAGUUGCCGAGGCGCGUGCAGAUUUGGGGCGAGUUUCCUCGGUCUACUGGCGAGGAUCACUUUAUGUGCUUUCCCAAUAUAAUUUCAUUACGAGAAUAUCUUUGUCUGAAGAUAAGUACAGUGUGAUUAAGCCACCAAUGGGUAUUGGAUGGAGCAGUUAUAUAGGAUUAUCCGAAAAAGGAGUGUAUUGUGCGUCAUUUCUUAAGAAUGAUCACAUUCUGGUUUGCACCCUCAAUGAAACGUGUAAUCAGUUUGAUUGGAUAUUAAAGCACGAGUAUGACCUUAAGCCUGUGGAAAUGUUUGAUCGCCAAGGUCGCUUCCUUUCUCAUCCGUGUCAGUGCUCGUGUGCUGUUGUAUUCACAAAAUAUAUAUGUGACAUUAGUGUUGUGAACAAGGGGACUAAAAAACAAAGAAACAAAAAGGCAGAAAAAACUAAGGAUAUGAACUGGACAAACAUUAUAGCCACUAGCACAAAUCAUCAGACAGUUUUAGUUCCUUUUAUCAAAAACACAAACUUUACUUCAGGAAUGUUCUCAACUCUACUUCAGGAAUACACAAACUUUACUGAUGCUUGUGUUAUAAAAACAGGACAACAAGAACAGGUGAAACUUUGA
rnacentral:rRNA from 1 species